UACGUAGGGUGCGAGCGUUGUCCGGAAUUAUUGGGCGUAAAGAGCUUGUAGGCGGUUUGUCGCGUCUGCUGUGAAAAUCCGGGGCUCAACCCCGGACUUGCAGUGGGUACGGGCAGACUAGAGUGUGGUAGGGAGACUGGAAUUCCUGGUGUAGACGGUGAAAUGCGCAGAUAUCAGGAGGAACACCGGUGGCGAAGGCGGCUCACUGGCUCGUGAACUGACGCUCGAUGACACGACAGCGUGGGGAUCAAACAGG
rnacentral:rRNA from 1 species